AAGACAGAUGUCACGAAAUUGAUCAGAAACUUUUGUAUCUUUCUUCAUCCUCCAACGUAUCUGUUUAAUGAUAUUUAACGCUAAAACGAGCGGUCUUAAUGGAUGAUCGUAAUUAAAGUCAUACGACGAGAAUAAAACAGUUGGAAAAAAGGAGAAUUAAUAGCUCGAGUGUAAAACUGAUAGCGAGGUUCGUCAGAAACUUAAAUGGCGCGUUUGGCACUUCAGAAACGGAGGAAGAGAAACCGUGAGACAUCCUCAACGUUAGAAGCGAAUGUCCAACCUGACGAACAAUUAUUUUAUUUGCAUGAAAAUUUCUUUCCAAUUCUUUCGCAAUUAGUAGAAUUUCAUCGCGCAACGGAUUAUAGUCCGAAGAGACAAUACUUUUCCUUUGAUAUUCUUCGAAUAAAAUAUUUGUCGGUAUCUGAAUUCUCCUGGUUCUGCUGCGUGUUGUGAUAUAAAAUUGUAUUAAAUGAUUAUAUUUUAUCAUUCUACGUGCUCAUUUAGCUUCGUUGGACAACCAAGAAAAUAAUUUCCUUCGUUCUUUUCUAUGUACCGAACCAUUUUAUUUAUUCAAACCGUAGCAUUGAGAGCGAAAUUGUUCGUAUAAUAGAAAUUUAGUGAUCCUUUCCCGGUACCUACGAUCUCUCGUUGUAGUAAUAAAAGUUUAUGUAAGUCAAUAAGACGAUACUCGAGAUAGGUAAAUUUACUUAGACUUUAGCAUUAACUGAAAUUUCGCAAAGUUCCACCGUGUAUAUUCGUGAAUAGGUCAAGUACUCGCUGCGACGAUGGAUCUUUAUAGAAGCCUGUUUUAUCGGAAUUAUCUGCGGCUAUCAAGGCCUUCGGUGAAUCGGGAAUGCGGUUCGAAUCUAGUUUAAUUAACAUAUUAAGAAACUGUGGCUGAAGAAACAUCAGUCCGUUGUUCUCCAACUGCAGCAUGAACACUUUGGAGGAAUUUAUCGGCUGAGGUAUCCGCG